rnacentral:rRNA from 1 species
UACGUAGGGUGCAAGCGUUGUCCGGAAUCAUUGGGCGUAAAGAGCUCGUAGGCGGUUUGUCGCGUCGGCUGUGAAAACUCGGGGCUCAACUCUGAGCUUGCAGUCGAUACGGGCAGACUUGAGUUCGGCAGGGGAGACUGGAAUUCCUGGUGUAGCGGUGAAAUGCGCAGAUAUCAGGAGGAACACCGGUGGCGAAGGCGGGUCUCUGGGCCGAUACUGACGCUGAGGAGCGAAAGCGUGGGGAG